CUUCUUAGGUGCCCACUUCUUUCAAAAUGCCUCGAUUGGAAACCUUGUUAGCUGCAUUCAAAUUCAUUAAAAUUUAUAGGUUUGCGUCGAUCACUGCUGGUUCAUCGAGGUGUACUACUACAUUGUACAUCUAGAUCUCAUACAAUGACAAACUAUUUAAUACGAAUCAAUGUUUUGUGGCAAUACGUAUUUUGUGUAUCUGCAAAUGCGCCUGAUCAUGAGUGAUAUUGAAUAAAAGGCGCAGUUACUAUUGGACAUCCAAUGGGAGCUUAUUUCUUUAUAUAUAUUUGCUUUUCAUCCGACAAUAAUGAGUAGAGACGCCUAUUUUUGAAAAGCAGCCUGCUAUUACAAUUACUAACUUAGUGAAAACACUGCUGUUCAAUACCUUACUUGUAUUAAAAUUCGCGUCGUACUCAUUUUCGCUCAGCUUUAAAUUCGCUCGAUUUAAUUUCGCGCACCUUGUUGAGACUUAUUCGCGC
rnacentral:lncRNA from 1 species